UGAGAAGCUAGACCUGCUGAAAUCCCCUCUUCUGCUCAGCUACGAAAGGCAGUAUUUAAAUGGGAGUUAACGGGUGAAAGAAUGCAUUGCAGGUUUUUGUUGUUGUUGUUGAGCACAUGAAUAAAAACUUAAAAAAAACCAAAACCAAAGUGAGCCAAGGGUAGCCUGUCUGGUGCCCUUCAGACUCCCAGCUCUCGUCAUCUCUGGCCAUUGGCUGUACUGGCUAAUGGGAGUUGGAAUCCAGCAACAUCUGGGGGGGCACCGUGUUGGCUACCCCUAAAGUGAGCUGUGAACAGAGAAAAUCCUGAUUCAAAAUCUCACCUAAGCAAUGCAUUCGCCAGCUGCCUUUAAGCUAGCCACCUUCUCUCAGCCUCAGUUGCCCAUCUAUAAGAUGGGGAUAAUGAAACAAAAGGUAAAGGUAAAGGUGUCCCCGCACUUAUAGUGCGAGUCGUUUCUGACUCUUAGGGUGACGUCUUGUGACAUUUACUAGGCAGACCGUAUAUAUGGGGUGGUUUUGCCAGUUCCUUCCCCAGCCUUUCUUUACCCCCCAGCAUAUGCCGGGUACUCAUUUUACCGACCACGGAUGGAUGGAAGGCUGAGUGGACCUCGACCCCUUUUUACCGGAGAUUCGACUUCCUCCUUCCAUUGGAAUCGGACUCCGGCCGUGAGCAGAGCUUUCGGCUGCGUUACUGCCGCUUACCACUCUGCACCACGGAGGGCAAGGUGAUCUUUAAAACAAGGGUGAGGGAACCUGCUGCUCUCCAAAUGUUGCUGGAGUCCAGCUCCCAUCAGCCCCAGCCAAUAUGACCAAUGGUCAGAGAUGAUGGGUACUGGAAUCUAACAUCGUCUGGAGGGUCAUAGGUCCCCCACCCGCUUUAAAAAGUAGUUGCAAGUGACUGGCAAUAUGAUUGUAAACCUGCAAAAUGAGAUUGUAAACCAGGCUGGAGUCUCC